CCUUGAUGUGUGCAUUAUAUGCUUAUGCUUAUCGAUGACUUUUAUGUUUAAUUCCAACAUAAUAUUCUACUUUUGUUGUGAAUUUUGAAUAAUUACAUUUUUUAAGAGGUACAGUUUCUUUUAACCGCAGUUUUUUCAUCAAAAUGAUUUAGUUCUAUGGUUGGAAGACAAUGGUCAAGAAGAGCUUUUUAAUGGUUGAAGCAAGGAUUCCUGAUUAACAAUAAUUAACAUGUUGAAACCAUAGCCAAUUUAUAUUAUUGGGAAAUCUGUAAAAACAACUUAAGUAAAUUACAAUGUUUCCAUAUCUGUUGCUAUGCUUACAGCUUCAUCAGACUUCAUCAGACCACUGACUUAAGGACUGCAAUAACUAUAAUUAUAUGUACUUAAUAUAUAAUAAUUUAAUUUCUAAGAAAAUAG